UAGGGAAUCUUCCACAAUGGACGCAAGUCUGAUGGAGCAACGCCGCGUGAGUGAAGAAGGUUUUCGGACCGUAAAGCUCUGUUGUUGGUGAAGAAGGAUAGAGGUAGUAACUGGCCUUUAUUUGACGGUAAUCAACCAGAAAGUCACGGCUAACUACGUGCCAGCAGCCGCGGUAAUACGUAGGUGGCAAGCGUUGUCCGGAUUUAUUGGGCGUAAAGCGAGCGCAGGCGGAAGAAUAAGUCUGAUGUGAAAGCCCUCGGCUUAACCGAGGAAUUGCAUCGGAAACUGUUUUCUUGAGUGCAGAAGAGGAGAGUAGAACUCCAUGUGUAGCGGUGGAAUGCGUAGAUAUAUGGAAGAAUACCAGCGGCGAAGGCGGCUCUCUGGUCUGCAACUGACGCUGAGGCUCGAAAGCAUGGGUAGCGAACAGGAUUAGAUACCCUGGUAGUCCAUGCCGUAAACGAUGAGUGCUAAGUGUUGGGAGGCUUCCGCCUCUCAGUGCUGCAGCUAACGCAUUAAGCACUCCGCCUGGGGGAGUACGACCGCAAGGUUGAAAC
rnacentral:rRNA from 1 species